rnacentral:rRNA from 1 species
UACGAAGGGGGCGAGCGUUGUUCGGAUUUACUGGGCGUAAAGGGCGCGUAGGCGGCGGACCAAGUCGAGUGUGAAAGCCCCGGGCUCAACCUGGGAGGUGCGCUCGAGACUGGUCUGCUUGAGUACGGAAGAGGCGAGUGGAAUUCCUGGUGUAGCGGUGAAAUGCGCAGAUAUCAGGAGGAACACCAAUUGCGAAGGCAGCUCGCUGGGACGUUACUGACGCUGAGACGCGAAAGCGUGGGGAGCAAACAGG